rnacentral:rRNA from 1 species
UACAGAGGUGGCAAGCGUUGUUCGGAAUUACUGGGCGUAAAGGGCGCGUAGGCGGUCCUGUAAGUCCCGCGUGAAAUCCCCCGGCUCAACUGGGGAACGGCGCGGGAGACUGCGGGGCUUGAGUUCGGGAGAGGGAAGCGGAAUUCCGGGUGUAGCGGUGAAAUGCGUAGAUAUCGGAAGGAACAUCAGUGGCGAAAGCGACUUCCUGGACCAAUACUGACGCUCAUGUGCGAAAGCGUGGGGAGCAAACAGG